GGAGUCUGCUGGUAGUCUUAAAGAGACAGUUCCUAAUUUUAACCAGAAGGUAGGAGGAGUCUGCUGGUAGUCUUAAAGAGACAGUUCCUAAUUUAAACCAGAAGAAGGUAGGAGUCUGCUGGUAGUCUUAAAGAGACAGUUCCUAAUUUUAACCAGAAGGUAGGAGGAGUCUGCUGGUAGUCUUAAAGAGACAGUUCCUAAUUUAAACCAGAAGAAGGUAGGAGUCUGCUGGUAGUCUUAGAGACAGUUCCUAAUGUUAAUUAGAAGGUAGGAGUCUGCUGCUAGUCUUAAAGAGACAGUUCCUAAUUUUAAUUAGAAGGUAGGAGUCUGCUGGUAGUCUUAAAGAGACGGAUCCUAAUUUUAACUAGAAGGUAGGAGUCUGCUGGUAGUAAGGUAGGAGGAGUCUGCUGGUAGUCUUAAAGAGACAGUUCCUAAUUUUAACUAGAAGGUAGGAGGAGUCUGCUGGUAGUCUUAAAGAGACAGUUCCUAAUUUUAACUAGAAGGUAGGAGGAGUCUGCUGGUAGUCUUAAAGAGACAGUUCCUCAUUUUAACUAGAAGGUAGGAGGAGUCUGCUGGUAGUCUUAAAGAGACAGUUCCUCAUUUAAACCAGAAGAAGGUAGGAGUCUGCUGGUAGUCUUAGAGACAGUUCCUAAUUUUAAUUAGAAGGUAGGAGUCUGCUGCUAGUCUUAAAGAGACAGUUCCUAAUUUUAAUUAGAAGGUAGGAGUCUGCUGGUAGUCUUAAAGAGACGGAUCCUAAUUUUAACUAGAAGGUAGGAGUCUGCUGGUAGUAAGGUAGGAGGAGUCUGCUGGUAGUCUUAAAGAGACAGUUCCUCAUUUUAACUAGAAGGUAGGAGGAGUCUGCUGGUAGUCUUAAAGAGACAGUUCCUCAUUUUAACUAGAAGGUAGGAGGAGUCUGCUGGUAGUCUUAAAGAGACAGUUCCUCAUUUUAACUAGAAGGUAGGAGGAGUCUGCUGGUAGUCUUAAAGAGACAGUUCCUAAUUUAAACCAGAAGAAGGUAGGAGUCCGCUGGUAGUCUUAAAGAGACAGUUCCUAAUUUUAAUUAGAAGGUAGGAGUCUGCUGCUAGUCUUAAAGAGACAGUUCCUAAUUUUAAUUAGAAGGUAGAAGUCUGCUGCUAGUCUUAAAGAGACAGUUCCUAAUUUUAAUUAGAAGGUAGGAGUCUGCUGGUAGUCUUAAAGAGACGGAUCCUAAUUUUAACUAGAAGGUAGGAGUCUGCUGGUAGUAAGGUAGGAGGAGUCUGCUGGUAGUCUUAAAGAGACAGUUCCUCAUUUUAACUAGAAGGUAGGAGGAGUCUGCUGGUAGUCUUAAAGAGACAGUUCCUCAUUUUAACCAGAAGGUAGGAGGAGUCUGCUGGUAGUCUUAAAGAGACAGUUCCUCAUUUUAACUAGAAGGUAGGAGGAGUCUGCUGGUAGUCUUAAAGAGACAGUUCCUAAUUUAAACCAGAAGAAGGUAGGAGUCUGCUGGUAGUCUUAGAGACAGUUCCUAAUUUUAACUAGAAGGUAGGAGUCUGCUGGUAGUAAGGUAGGAGGAGUCUGCUGGUAGUCUUAAAGAGACAGUUCCUCAUUUUAACUAGAAUGUAGGAGGAGUCUGCUGGUAGUCUUAAAGAGACAGUUCCUCAUUUUAACUAGAAGGUAGGAGGAGUCUGCUGGUAGUCUUAAAGAGACAGUUCCUAAUUUUAACUAGAAGGUAGGAGUCUGCUGGUAGUAAGGUAGGAGGAGUCUGCUGGUAGUAAGGUGGGAGGAGUCUGCUGGUAGUCUUAAAGAGACAGUUCCUCAUUUUAACUAGAAGGUAGGAGGAGUCUGCUGGUAGUCUUAAAGAGACAGUUCCUAAUUUAAACCAGAAGAAUGUAGGAGUCUGCUGGUAGUCUUAGAGACAGUUCCUAAUUUUAAUUAGAAGGUAGGAUUCUGCUGCUAGUCUUAAAGAGACAGUUCCUAAUUUUAACCAGAAGGUAGGAGGAGUCUGCUGGUAGUCUUAAAGAGACAGUUCCUAAUUUUAACCAGAAGGUAGGAGGAGUCUGCUGGUAGUCUUAAAGAGACAGUUCCUAAUUUAAACCAGAAGAAGGUAGGAGUCUGCUGGUAGUCUUAGAGACAGUUCCUAAUUUUAAUUAGAAGGUAGGAGUCUGCUGCUAGUCUUAAAGAGACAGUUCCUAAUUUUAACUAGAAGGUAGGAGUCUGCUGGUAGUAAGGUAGGAGGAGUCUGCUGGUAGUCUUAAAGAGACAGUUCCUCAUUUUAACUAGAAGGUAGGAGGAGUCUGCUGGUAGUCUUAAAGAGACAGUUCCUAAUUUAAACCAGAAGAAGGUAGGAGUCUGCUGGUAGUCUUAGAGACAGUUCCUAAUUUUAAUUAGUAGGUAGGAGUCUGCUGCUAGUCUUAAAGAGACAGUUCCUAAUUUUAACCAGAAGGUAGGAGGAGUCUGCUGGUAGUCUUAAAGAGACAGUUCCUAAUUUUAACCAGAAGGUAGGAGGAGUCUGCUGGUAGUCUUAUAGAGACAGUUCCUAAUUUAAACCAGAAGAAGGUAGGAGUCUGCUGGUAGUCUUAGAGACAGUUCCUAAUUUUAAUUAGAAGGUAGGAGUCUGCUGCUAGUCUUAAAGAGACAGUUCCUAAUUUUAACUAGAAGGUAGGAGUCUGCUGGUAGUAAGGUAGGAGGAGUCUGCUGGUAGUCUUAAAGAGACAGUUCCUCAUUUUAACUAGAAGGUAGGAGGAGUCUGCUGGUAGUCUUAAAGAGACAGUUCCUAAUUUAAACCAGAAGAAGGUAGGAGUCUGCUGGUAGUCUUAGAGACAGUUCCUAAUUUUAAUUAGAAGGUAGGAGUCUGCUGCUAGUCUUAAAGAGACAGUUCCUAAUUUUAACCAGAAGGUAGGAGGAGUCUGCUGGUAGUCUUAAAGAGACAGUUCCUAAUUUUAACCAGAAGGUAGGAGGAGUCUGCUGGUAGUCUUAAAGAGACAGUUCCUAAUUUAAACCAGAAGAAGGUAGGAGUCUGCUGGUAGUCUUAGAGACAGUUCCUAAUUUUAAUUAGAAGGUAGGAGUCUGCUGCUAGUCUUAAAGAGACAGUUCCUAAUUUUAACUAGAAGGUAGGAGUCUGCUGGUAGUAAGGUAGGAGGAGUCUGCUGGUAGUCUUAAAGAGACAGUUCCUCAUUUUAACUAGAAGGUAGGAGGAGUCUGCUGGUAGUCUUAAAGAGACAGUUCCUAAUUUAAACCAGAAGGUAGGAGGAGUCUGCUGGUAGUCUUAAAGAGACAGUUCCUAAUCGUAAACCACUUUGUGACACUGUUGUAAGAAGCUCUAUUUAAACUGAGACUCGUAGAUAUGAGGUUGAGCUACGGGGAACUGUCUCUUUAAGACUACCAGCAUGGGACAGGAAACGGCAGAAGUUUCCUGGCGCAGAGAAGUUUCCACGUUUGUUGUGGAAACGGACCCCAUAUUCCCAUACUGUUUGUUUACUUCGUGCAUCGCUGACUCUACUUAUACAUACAAUUGGUUGAUUCAUUGGUUGAUUCAUUGGUUGAUUCUUUGGUUGAUUCUUUGGUUGAUUCAUUUAUUUGUUGGUUGUUUGAUUUGUUGAAUAACUGAUUUGAUUCAUUGAUUGGUUAGGUGAUUGAUUCAUUUAUUUGUUGGUUGUUUGAUUUGUUGAAUAACUGAUUUGAUUCAUUGAUUGGUUAGGUGAUUGAUUCAUUUAUUUGUUGAUUUGUUGAAUAACUGAUUUGAUUCAUUGAUUGGUUAGGUGGUUGAUUCAUUUAGUUGUUGAUUGGUUGAUUUGUUGAAUAACUGAUUUGAUUGGUUGUUGU